UACGUAGGGUGCGAGCGUUAAUCGGAAUUACUGGGCGUAAAGCGUGCGCAGGCGGUUCGUUGUGUCCGGUGUGAAAGCCCCGAGCUUAACUUGGGAAUGGCAUUGGAAACUGGCGAGCUGGAGUGUGGCAGAGGGGGGGUGGAAUUCCACGUGUAGCAGUGAAAUGCGUAGAGAUGUGGAGGAACACCGAUGGCGAAGGCAGCCCCCUGGGCCAACACUGACGCUCAGGCACGAAAGCGUGGGGAGCAAACAGG
rnacentral:rRNA from 1 species